AUGACAUUGCAAAACCGACUUGCGUUAGAUUAUAUACUAGCCAGCAAAGGAGGAGUCUGUGCUUUAAUAGGUAAAGAAUGUUGUACUUAUAUUCCUGAUAAUUCAGAA